rnacentral:rRNA from 1 species
GGUACAAUUGGUUUCUCCCUUCUGAAGAACCAUGACGUCAUUAAUUUGGUGUUGUGGGGAAUCAGGACUGUUACUUUGAAAAAAUUAGAGUGUUUAAAGCAGGCUCACGCUUGAAUACAUUAGCAUGGAAUAAUGAAAUAGGACGUUCGAUUCUAUUUUGUUGGUUUCUAGGAUCGACGUAAUGAUUAAUAGGGAUAGUUGGGGGCAUUAGUAUUCAAUUGUCAGAGGUGAAAUUCUUGGAUUUAUUGAAGACUAACUACUGCGAAAGCAUUUGCCAAGGAUGUUUUCAUUAAUCAAGAACGAAAGUUAGGGGAUCGAAGACGAUCAGAUACCGUCGUAGUCUUAACCAUAAACUAUGCCGACUGGGGAUCGGAUGAUGUUAAUUUUUUAAUGACUCAUUCGGCGCCUUACG